rnacentral:lncRNA from 1 species
UGAAGGCUUAUACAAAAUAGUUUCCUGCAAACUCAAGUGGCUGGGAAGCCCAGCUGAAGGUUACUUCUACCCCAAGGCCAUGUCAGCAGAAAGUGGCCAACAGGACUUGGGCCUGAAAAAGCUCAGACUGAAUUUUAGGAGUGACAUCUGAAACUGCUGGUUUCUCACAAGGAAUAAAAGCUGUCUGGGAAGCUGGAGAGGCAGUGUGCUGUCUGGAGCAGGGACUUGCAAAUGGGAACAGUGAAGAGAGACAGCAUCUCCUUCCUCUGAAGAUUCUGUUCAGAAUGGAUAAAGGUUCAGCAUCCUCCCUGGAUGGGGCAGCUUAGCAGAUACAGGGUCUCGCCAUGAGCCACAGCACCUGGCCACUUCUCAUUUUUAAUACUGUAGACCCAGAGGAAAGCACUGGGAGGAAUGAGAAAGUAGCGACUAGACAAAAAUGAAAACUCUUUAAGAAGCAUUGCUGAAGUUACAGGGGAAAAAGGGACUUGAAAGGCCACAUGCUUGCAAUAACAGAAGACUUGUAAGGAAAGGAAUCAGACCUAUGGGAUACAGCAAGGUGUCUUUCCACAAACUAAGAAGAGAAACCUCUCCAGGAACCCCAUCAGUUGGCACCUUGAUCUUGGACUUUUCAGUCUUCAGAACUGUGAGGAAAUGUCUGUUGCUGAAACCAUCCAGUCCAUGGUGUUUUUGCUGCAGCAGCCCAAACUAUAGCUCAAAAUAAAAAGGGAAGUCAGAUUAUGUGGGCUAAACUAUGCUUCUACUUUCUCUCCAACAAGAGAAAGUGAGCAAAGAAUGGAGACUUCAGGAGGUUAGGACUACUGCAGCGACUAUGGUCCUUUGGUCAAGGAACCCAAGGAUGACAUUGAGAUAGAGAUACCAACCAGAUCAGCAGUUCUCAAAUGAGAGAGGCAACCUCACAUCACCCUCAACCCCAAUAGACUUCUCCUAUCCCUGCUGUUAGCCAAGUCUUCCCUUCUGCCCAGAGAGCUCUCAGCCUUCUCUGUGUUCUACACAGCCUUUAAAACCAAGUUCAAGUUCCAACUCUUCGACAAAGCCUAACAUUGAUCUCAUCUUUCUCAGAAUUCCAUCGAUACACAUGAUGUAUACCAUUUGCUUACUAUCCUCAUAUGAAACGUGGUGUGACAGGCAGCAUUGAAUUUGCAGUAAUAUCUGGAUUCCACUGGAGAGUCACUCCUCACUAGCUAUGUCAACCAGAGUGGAUUAUUUAGCAUCCCGAAGCCUCAGUUUCCUGAUUUGCAAAAUGGGAAAAAUGAGAGGAUUCAAAGCCUCUAUCCUGAGGACAUAGAGCAAUGGGAACUCGCAUAUAUUAUUGGUUGGGUGUAAAUUGAUCCAAGCCCUUUGAAAACCAUUUGCUAGUGUCUCCUAAAGUUAAAUCUAUGCCUGUUCUAUGAGCUAGCAAUUCCACUCCUAGGUAUAUAACCAACAGAUAUGAGCGCUUAAGGCUGGGCGCAGUGGCUCACACCUGUAAUCCCAGCACUUUGGGAGGCCGAGGCAGCAGAUCACCUGAGGUCGGGAGUUUGAGACCAGCCUGACCAACAUGGAGAAACCCAGUCUCUACUAAAAAUACAAAAUUAGCCAGGUGUGGUGGCACAUAUCUGUAAUCCCAGCUACUCGGGGGGCUGAAGCAGGAGAAUCGCUUGAACUCGGGAGGUGGAGGUUGUGGUGAGCUGAGAUCAUGCCAUUGCACUUCAGCCUGGGCAACAAGAGCAAGACUCCGUCUCAAAAAAAAAAAAAAAGAAAGAAAGGAAAGAAAGAAGGAAAGAAAGGAAAGAAAGAAAGAAAGAAAGAAAGAAAGAAAGAAAGAAAGAAAGAAAGAAAGAAAGAAAAGAAAAGAAAAGAAAGAAAGAAAAAAGAAAGAGAGAAAGAAAGAAAGAAAUGAGUGCUUAACAAAGGUGCCAAGAACAUACAUUGGGCAAAGGACAGUCUCUUCAAUAUGUGGUGCUGGAAAAACUGGAUAUUCAUAUACAGAAGAAUGAAACUAGACCCCUAUCUCUUACCAUAUACAAAAAUCAAAUCAAAAUAGAUUAAAAUGGAUUAAAGACUUAAACCUAAGACCUCAAACUAUGAAACUACUACAAGAAAACAUUGGGCACAUCAAGUUAAAAAGCUUAUGCACAGUAAAGGAAACAAUCAACAAAGUGAAGAGACAACCCACAAAAUGGGAGAAAAUAUUUGCAAACUAUCCAUCUGACAAGGAACUAGAAUAUAUAAGAAGCUCAAACAAUUCUAUAGGAAAAAAAUCUAAUAAUAUUACUUAAAAAUGAGCAAAAGAUCUGAAUAGACAUUUCUGAAAAGAAGUCAUACAAAUGGCAAACAGGCAUAUGAAAAAAUGCUCAACAUCAUUGAUCAUCAGAUAAAUGAAAAUCAAAACUACAGUGAGGUACCACUUCCAGUUAAAAUGGCUUUUAUGCAAAAGACAGGCAGUAACAAAUGCUGGGGAGGAUGUGGAGAAAGGGGAACCCUUGUACACUACUGGUGGGAAUGUCAAUUAGUACAACCACUGUGGAGAACAGUUUGGAGGUUCCUCAAAAAACUAAAACUAGAACUACCUUAUGAUCCAGAAAUCUCACUGCUAGGUAUGUGCCAAAGAAAAAGAAAAUCAGUGUAUCGAAGAGAUACCUGCACUCCCAUGUUUAUUGCAGCACUGUUCACAACAAGCAAGAUUUGGAAGCAACCUGUGUCCAUCAGUAAACAAGUGGAUAAAGAAAAUGUGGUUGAAUUUUCCUGGACCAGUCAAC